rnacentral:rRNA from 1 species
CCUACGGGAGGCAGCAGUAAGGAAUAUUGGUCAAUGGGCGCAAGCCUGAACCAGCCAUGCCGCGUGCAGGAAGACGGCCCUAUGGGUUGUAAACUGCUUUUGAACAAGAGAAAACCUCGGUACGUGUACCGAGCUGAUAGUAUUGUUAGAAUAAGCAUCGGCUAACUUCGUGCCAGCAGCCGCGGUAAGACGAAGGAUGCAAGCGUUAUCCGGAUUCAUUGGGUUUAAAGGGUGCGUAGGCGGACCGAUAAGUCAGUGGUGAAAUCUCUCAGCUUAACUGAGAAACUGCCAUUGAUACUGUCAGUCUAGAGUAUAGAUGAUGUGGGCGGAAUAUGACAUGUAGUGGUGAAAUACUUAGAUAUGUCAUAGAACACCGAUUGCGAAGGCAGCUCACAAAACUAUAACUGACGCUGAGGCACGAAAGUGCGGGGAUCAAACAGGAUUAGAUACCCUGGUAGUCCGCACCGUAAACGAUGAUUACUCGUUGUUGGCAAUAUGACCGUCGNGCGACCGACGACGAAGACGAAGUAAGUAAGUUACCACCGUACGGGUUAGGUUACGGUCCGGCCGGACCGGUUACGGAACGUUACGAACGAAGUUAGUUAGGACGGACGAGAGAGCGACGGACGGACGACGACGGAGGAGGUAGG